CCCUUAGAUGUCCUGGGCCGCACGCGUGCUACACUGACGCAUACAGCGAGCACUUUCCAGUUCCGAGAGGCUACUGGUAAUCAUCAAUAUGCGUCGUGAUGGGGAUAGAUCUUUGGAAUUCUGGAUCUUGAACGAGGAAUGCCUAGUAAUCGCAGGUCAUUAGCCUGCGAUGAUUAAGUCCCUGCCCUUUGUACACACCGCCCGUCGCUACUACCGAUUUCGAGUGGUCAGGUGAAUCUUUCGGACUGUGGGCGCCCUUGAGGUGUUCGCGGAAAGUCAGGUAAAUCUUAUCACUUAGAGGAAGUAAAAGUCAUANCA
rnacentral:rRNA from 1 species